rnacentral:rRNA from 1 species
GAUGAACGCUGGCGGCGUGCUUAACACAUGCAAGUCGAACGGUGAAGGCGGAGCUUGCUCUGCUGGAUCAGUGGCGAACGGGUGAGUAACACGUGAGCAAUCUGCCCCUGACUCUGGGAUAAGCGCUGGAAACGGCGUCUAAUACUGGAUACGAGCUGCGAAGGCAUCUUCAGCAGCUGGAAAGAAUUUCGGUCAGGGAUGAGCUCGCGGCCUAUCAGCUUGUUGGUGAGGUAAUGGCUCACCAAGGCGUCGACGGGUAGCCGGCCUGAGAGGGUGACCGGCCACACUGGGACUGAGACACGGCCCAGACUCCUACGGGAGGCAGCAGUGGGGAACAUUGCACAAUGGGCGAAAGCCUGAUGCAGCAACGCCGCGUGAGGGACGACGGCCUUCGGGUUGUAAACCUCUUUUAGCAGGGAAGAAGCGAAAGUGACGGUACCUGCAGAAAAAGCGCCGGCUAACUACGUG